AUUGAACGCUGGCGGCAUGCUUUACACAUGCAAGUCGAACGGUAACAGGCCGCAAGGUGCUGACGAGUGGCGAACGGGUGAGUAAUGCAUCGGAACGUGCCCAGUCGUGGGGGAUAACGCAGCGAAAGCUGUGCUAAUACCGCAUACGAUCUAUGGAUGAAAGCGGGGGACCGUAAGGCCUCGCGCGAUUGGAGCGGCCGAUGUCAGAUUAGGUAGUUGGUGGGGUAAAGGCCCACCAAGCCAACGAUCUGUAGCUGGUCUGAGAGGACGACCAGCCGCACUGGGACUGGGACACGCCCCAGCCUCCUACGGGAGGCAGCGGUGGGGAAUUUUGGACCAUGGGCGCAAGCCUGAUCAGCAAUGCCGCGUGCAGGAAGAAGGCCUUCGGGUUGUAAACUGCUUUUGUACGGAACGAAAGGGUCCGGGUUAAUACCCUGGGCCGAUGACGGUACCGUAAGAAUAAGCACCGGCUAACUACGUGCCAGCCGCCGCCGUAA
rnacentral:rRNA from 1 species